rnacentral:rRNA from 1 species
GUUGGCCUACGGGACGCAGCAGUGGGGAAUAUUGCACAAUGGGGGGAACCCUGAUGCAGCGACGCCGCGUGGGUGAAGAAGUCAUUCGUAACGUAAAGCCCUAUCAGCAGGGAAGAAAAUGACGGUACCUGACUAAGAAGCCCCGGCUAACUACGUGCCAGCAGCCGCGGUAAUACGUAGGGGGCAAGCGUUAUCUGGAUUUACUGGGUGUAAAGGGAGCGUAGACGGCGGCGCAAGUCCGGAGUGAAAGCCCACGGCCCAACCGUGGGACUGCUCUGGAAACUGUGCGGCUUGAGUCCGGGCGG